rnacentral:rRNA from 1 species
AGCUAGUUGGAGAGGUAACGGCUCACCAAGGCUACGAUGUCUAGGGGCUCUGAGAGGAGAAUCCCCCACACUGGUACUGAGACACGGACCAGACUCCUACGGGAGGCAGCAGUAAGGAAUAUUGGUCAAUGGAGGCAACUCUGAACCAGCCAUGCCGCGUGCAGGAUGACUGCCCUAUGGGUUGUAAACUGCUUUUGUCAGGGAAUAAACCUUUCUACGUGUAGAAAGCUGAAUGUACCUGAAGAAUAAGGAUCGGCUAACUCCGUGCCAGCAGCCGCGGUAAUACGGAGGAUCCAAGCGUUAUCCGGAUUUAUUGGGUUUAAAGGGUGCGUAGGCGGUCCUAUAAGUCAGUGGUGAAAGACGGCAGCUUAACUGUCGCAGUGCCUUUGAUACUGUAGGACUUGAAUCUAUUUGAAGUGGGCGGAAUAAGACAAGUAGCGGUGAAAUGCAUAGAUAUGUCUUAGAACUCCGAUUGCGAAGGCAGCUCACUAAGUUAGUAUUGACGCUGAUGCACGAAAGCGUGGGGAUCAAACAGGAUUAGAUACCCUGGUAGUCCACGCCCUAAACGAUGAUAACUCGAUGUUUGCGAUACACAGUAAGCGUCCAAGCGAAAGCGUUAAGUUAUCCACCUGGGGAGUACGGUCGCAAGAUUGAAACUCAAAGGAAUUGACGGGGGCCCGCACAAGCGGAGGAGCAUGUGGUUUAAUUCGAUGAUACGCGAGGAACCUUACCCGGGCUUGAAAGUUAGUGAAUGAUCCAGAGACGGAUCAGUCCUUCGGGACACGAAACUAGGUGCUGCAUGGCUGUCGUCAGCUCGUGCCGUGAGGUGUUGGGUUAAGUCCCGCAA